ACUCUUCCUUUUGACAUAAUAAUUGACGUGAAUGUGAUAUUAUAAACUAAUCGCUUUUAAAUUCCCUAGUAUAUCAUUGGUCAUAAAAUAUGGCGUUGUCGAAUUUCCCGCACAAAAUCUAUCGAAUGUUGUAGCGAUGACAAUGAUAUUCGAUAAUCAACGAUAGCGAUAGUUGUCGAUACAAACUGUAACGACAGGUGCGAAAAAGCCACCAUGGAAUUCAUCACCGUGAUCCGACUAAUCCGUGCGGAUUUCAGUUAAUUUCUGGAGAUGUGGAAGCCUCGAGUGCGUCGAACGAGUUACAAGACGUAGAGGUAUGGUGUGUGCGUUGUUUCCUCGCAACUACAAUCUCCCGAUCUCGACACCCUCCAUUAAAAUGCUUUGUGAGAUUGCUGAUCACCUCCAACGGUCGCCCUUUGCGUGGCGUUAGCCGGAGCGUUGUUGUGAUCGUUUGUCGGAGGCGAAAUUCUUACCCGAAAUUCCGGUAACGAAGUAAAAAGCUCAAUAUUAUAGCCCGCUUCUCGAUCGAUUACACCCUUCGCGUCGUCGCUGGAAAUUUUAUGGACGUUUCUUCGAUCUCGAGCGUUUAUGUCGAGAUCGCACGCAGGAUACUCCCAUUACGCCGUUUGUUUACAAAUAUGGUUCCCCAUAGAAAUUUACUUUUCGUCCCUGACACUGUGAAAUUUCCCCAGGUACCCGAUUUUUCCGACUAGAGUUGCGUCGUGGACCCGAUUGUACGCGUUUUUUUUUUUUUACUUUAUUGCAGGUAUAGGCUGUGCAAAGUGUUUGAAUAUAUUGACAAAAAUUUUUCAUCAUUCAGCAGAUUCUAUCCACUGAAAAUGACUCAGCCAACACAGGACACGGACAUCACCAGUUCCAUUUCACCUCUGUUUGAUGCUCAACGCAAUGAUAUUUGCGAGUUCCCUCCAGAAUUUGGUACUUUAACGUCAUUCUCUGUAGAUCUGUGAACGAUCCCACGCGUUGUGCGUCAUGAGUUUUACAACAUUGUUUUGAAAAAACUUAUAGGAGACAACGUGAAGUUGGUGCAAGGACGACUUACCUCAUUCAUCAUGGAAGAGGUAUAUUUGGAAAAAUCAAAAUCUGAGUCCAACGCAACGGCUAGACAUCAAGGUUCCGAACUGGUUAAAUCUUUGGGCGAGACCUUCCCUUGGCUGAUUAAAUUCUCCAAAGUAAUACAGUCUACAGUCGGAAGUAAAAAUGCUAAGCUGCUCGACAGACUGCUGCUGGUAUAUAUCGAGAAUAUAUCGAGAGAUGUCAAUACCUGUUACACUAAGCCUUGCAGAGCAGCCAAAUUAAAGUCUCACGUGAGCGAAACUCUCAUCUUUUUUCACCUUUAUUGGAAAAAUAUCAAAGAGAGAGUCGACGACCACAACCAAUAUUUGGACAGAAUGUCCGAGAUCUUAGGAAUGUACGUAGACAUGGAGCUCAAGGCCUCUCGCAGAGGCAAGGAUUCGACUAUGAAAAUUGCUGCUAAACUGCUCUCUGCCAUGUUCAUAUAUCUGGAUAAUUCGGAAGAACAUAUAUUCAGAGUCUUGUUCAGAGUGAAACUCUUGACAAAAAACUACAGGGCGAUCUGCGAUCCUAUAUUCGAGAAACUGUUCGCUGGCUUCUCUGCGAAUACAAAAUGUAUCACCGAUGUGACUUAUGUUCGUUAUUUGCUGGCGUUAAAGUUAUGGAAAAAGAUGAAAGAUGAUGUGCAAGAAAAAAAGAAAAUCAACGAGCUCGCAGUCGCUAUUCUCGGUCAACAUGUUCCCUCCAUGCCUUCUGAGCUCUUGAAAAUCAUUGCGCAGCCACCCGAGUGUCAGAAAAAUGGAGCCUUGUGGCUGCUUCGGCCAAAUUCAUUUGAUUUGCGACAAGCUUGCGAUAGUUUCAUCAAAUAUGAGGUCAAUGAACACAUCAUUUUACCCAUGGAACCCAUCGAGAGAUUAAAAAUUAUUGACAGUACCGCCGUGCCCUCUACUCAAAGCUUUGAGUUUGUCGAUGGGUCACAAAGGAAAGAUGCUAGUCGCUGGAAAAGUGUGGACACAGAACCAGAGACAAAAGUGGCGAAUCGGGUAGAUGUGUCAGUGAGUGGCGAACAACCGGUCAAAAAAAUAGUGAAAUUGAAAAAAUUCAAACCAUUAUUCCCAAAGCUGAGACCUGGAGAGGUAGUUUUCAUUGAUUUGACGACGGAAAAUGAGGAGAACAAGCAUGGAGGUGGUAAGAAGGAUAAGAGGAAAAAUAAGAAGAAGCUACGCUGGUUAAAAGAGGUUCGAAAGAGAUCAAAGCUCAAGAAAGAACGUACAAGCUCCGGCAAAGUGUGGAUAGAAAAAGCCGAUGCGCAUAGCACUAGGAGUAACGAGGAGAGAACGAAGAGGACUGAGAUGAACUGGCCAAUUUCGGAAGACACGGUCACCGAAAGUACCAAUCGAAUCAAAAGUACAGUGCAAAGAACUGCCCACCGAUUCGCCAAGCGAGUGACAACCUUGAACGUCGACAGUUGCAGGGCGGACCAGGCUCAGAAUAAGUGCGAUAAGACCUGCAAAGGAUGUGACUCCUGUAGUUCGACAGAUGAAUUGAAUUAUAAGACCAAAAGACAAGAGGAUAUUGAGAGUCCAGAAAACUUUGUCACUUCCCAAUCAUCGCCGGUCAAGAACAACGCGAUGGUUUUGUGUAGUGGUGCGUUUGUGAAAAGUAAAAUCUUUCCGCAAUCGGAAAUUUUUGGCGAAGCCACGUCUUGCGAAAAGUUUGUUAGUAGCGUAAACCAAGACUCCGAAUACUCGAGAGGUUAUAAUUCUAAAGAUUCUUCUAACGUGGACCGAGUGGAACCCAUCCCAACCAGAAAACUAAUAAAACAGGAACCGCAGGAUAUUAUAAAAGAUAGUACAACUGAUAAAGACUGUGAUAAAAUAAUACUUACCGAUUCAUCUAGCUUUAAAAUAACCAGGGAGGUCGCCGGACACUCGAUGAAACGAAAUUCACCUUCAUCUGUCAUUAAGCUGGGGGCAGAAGAUACGGUUCUGUCGACAAGUUCAAAUCAAAGUAAACUUUUUAUUCCUACCGCUCGUGGAAAGCUGUCGAACAUUGAGGAGCCGUUCAACGAAACCUGUGUUGUGUCGACUACAGCUUCUUUUGUCGAGUCUGGCACCGAAGAACAAAUAAACGUAAUCUCAGGUUCGUCGAAUAUCCACAUGGGAACUCCAGAUUCCAGAGAUGACAUAAAUCGUAGAGAUUCAGAUCUACAUUUCAACAAUAUUAAUCGUGACGCCAAUCACGGUAAAAAAGAGGCGGCGAGAAUCUCAAAAAAACUAUUCUUGACCUCUAAAACGUGCAAUUCGGUGGAGACGAACAAAAAUUGCCAUAAGGACCCAGUCGGCAACACCCUCAACAGUAAAUUGCAACAGAGUCUAAUUCACGCUUUGUCUUUGGAUGAAAUUAUUCAAAUUGGCAGAGACGAUCUGGACUCUGAAUCGGAGAACGAAGAAAGAGAAGGAUCUCAAAGUACAGCGAUGGGUCAAUCGACAAUGCCCGAUCCGCAAAAACAAUCAGCUUUUGGCUAUAAAGAUAGUGAUUUCUUUCAAAUUCCCGAAAUGCAAUUGUGCGACGAUUUGACCAGCGGUAACGAAGUCGGCAAUCUUAUUACGGCGAGCAACAAAAACGAGGUUGACGAAUUCGAGAAUAUCGAUAUAUUGGACAGCAUUUUAAACGGAGACAUGAGCAUGCAGGAUAUCCUCGAAGAGCAACAACACCUGUCGAUGACCCCAGUGACCAAUGACCCAUCCAACAACAUGCUGGGUUUCUUCACCGAGUUCUUCAAGCAGCCCGAAUCGGCGCCACCAGCCAAAAAAAAUUGCGCCCCAGAUGAAACCUCCCAUUCGGACAAGCUGUCAAAAUCUUUACCCGAGGGCAGUCUGGGCACUACUGGAAUACUCAAUUCACUCCUCGAUUCAGAUUUGGCGAGUAUAGAUUCUCCCCCGAGUGAUUUCAUGUACUCGAAUGUUCAGACCAUCGAUCCAAGAUUAAUCAGAAAGUCCCCCACCGCAGAACGCGCCGCUUUUCUCAGUGACUUCAGCACGGUGUCCGAUCUAUUUUCCGAGAAAGAUGCGUCACCUCUGGGAAAUCUUGGGACAGCCGAAUCUCUGACCAGGAGUUCUAAAGAUCAGUUAUUUCUGGAUCAAAGGGACAACCUUGACGGUACAAAUCUGGAAGAGUUCGGGUUAAACACCAGUAAAGAAACCGACUUUGAAAUACCAGUGUUGGAAGAAGACCUGAUACAGCUUCCUCAGCAUCCGUUGAUCGACGAGACAAUGAUAACGCAUAUCUCACCACCGUCUUGCGAACCACCUUUGGCUACUCGCUCCGAAAUUAUGAAUCUGAAUGAAGCGAAGCCGGAGUUAUCUUCCUCUAGUAUUUUGCAGGAUUACAACCACCUUCAGUUUGCAGAAGAUAGUUAUCGCUGUCAAAAAAUGAUCAAUUCCAAGGGAUUCACGCCUCUGCGACCGAAGGACAGAGCACAGCAUCCUUCAAAGGAAACAGAUUCGGCUAGAGAUCUAUGCCCAAGUUCAUUGACGGACUUCACACCGCCCCAAAGCGUCGAUCCUCCGCAAUCCCCUCAUACUUUUGCCCCAUCUCCGGGGUCGGCUUAUGGUCAAACGGUCUCCCAUUCUCCCACACAUUCCAUUGGAACCUCUCGCCACCAAAUGUUCGCAAAUAUGUUGACGCCUCCGCCAAGUGUGUCGCAGUCUAAUCGUCGAAAUAAUUUGUCACCGCCUCCAACUCCGCAACAUAACCAAAAUCUGUUCUCCGAAGGUCUCGACCAACAGUUGGAAGUGGUUUAUUGUGCUAGAAGAAAUGUACAAGGAGGAUCCAGUCAUCAUCUGCUGAGUCAAUCUCAGGAUAAAAUGGGCUCAUAUUUCCGUGCCAUUUCGAGUGCUCAAAAUACAGACUCAGAGGCUGCACCAUCUUUGCGAAAGCAAGAUCAUUGCAAAAUGAUGAGACGAAAGCCACCAACUAAAGCGAUGUCUGUGGGCCGUUCUAAGAGAAAUUUGGAAUUGAGUACAGAGUCGAUGAAAUUGGAGGAGCAAGCGAUCACUACAAAUCAUGAGCAGUCCAUAUGUCUGGCGCAAGUUCAAGUUGCUUUGACAAGACUAACCAGCAAGGAAAUUAACACAAAGACUCACAGCGAACAAAGCAGACAAGAGGCAAACAUUCCAUUUAAUAAUGCACCACCGGCAACGACGAUAAAAGCAGCUCAGUGUCAAUUAAAAACGCAGAUCAAUGUACCUGAUUCUGUAAGCCACCCUUGUCUGCAGCGUAUAGACUUUCGAAAAUUCAGUAUAACCACGCAGCAGAAAAAGCCAGUAUUUGUAAAUCUGAAGGGAAAAACUAAACCGGCGUUGAUGUUUGAGAGGACUGCGCAAAAUGAUAAGUUGUUGAAAAGUUUCAACGAGGAUGUAAAUAGUCGUAAUAUUAUGUAUACAUUGACGUCUAACGUCGACCCUGCUACCUCGAAAGAAGAGCCAUAUUCCAAGCUUCCAAGAGUUAAUUUUACAAUGCAAAAUCAAACUGGCAUCGUCGACAAGUCACAGUCGACAAUUACCAGAUGUGCUACCGAUUCAGAAACUUGUAAAGAGACGCAGAACAUUACCAGACCGAGAUGUUCCAUGCGGCGCGUCAAGGCUCAGGCCAACAAGUCUAUCGUCGAACAGAGUUCUCGAAAGGCAUUCAUAAUUCCCAACACCGAAGAACCUUCUUUGAAGAAACGUAAGAUGACUCCGAAGUUGCUGCCGUUGCUGGAAAAGGAAGGCAUUAUCUACACCGUUCAACAAACUCCACUAGACAAACAUUCGAACGUUUUGAGAAGAGGUAAUUCGCAAGUACAUCAAACGUACACCUCGAUAAAAAAUCAAAUCACAUUAACUUCCAUUUUAUACGUAGAUCGCUUCACGUGCUGUUAUUUCAUUUUUUUUUGUACAUUCGUAGUUGAAUUACAGUUGACAGUUAGUAAGUUUAAAUUUCGCGACGAUCGUCGUAUAUGGAGGAUAAGUUGAUUCGUAUGAAAUUGAUAAAAUCGUCGAAAUUUUUGGACGAUCACCUUUCGAUUCCACCGUUGAUCAAAAUUCGCGAAUAAAGAUUCACGCGAGGGACAAUCAUCACGGAAGAUUAAAAAUCUACAGAUACGAAGAUCCGGCAGCCGACCCUCACUGAAGAUACUUGUGCGUUUGCUGUAAUGCUUUCAGCUUAUUAUGUGAUCAAGUUCACAGCAAUGAUAACUCGAUAGCCAAUACACUAUUCUUAUAUCAAACAUGAGGUCGUGUUCAAAUGACAAAAAGCAGAGAAAAAGUAAAUGCAUGGUGCUUUUCUGCUUUUGUAAAGUCGGUAAAAAAUUAAACUUUCUUAAAGAUCAUAAAUCAGUCACGGAAGAUGAAGGAUCAAAAAGGUAAGAUCAAACGUUGAGAAAAUCUUAGGACAUUAUUUGUCGUGUGACGUGCAAGAAGUGCAGAAUAAUUUCAGGUAUUGAAGCGAUGUUUGUAAAAAGACUAACCUUGAACUGUAUUUCGGUGUCCACAGAUUUUGCCCGGAAAGAUAGAGCGAAAAAAAAAGUUGUCUGAUGGGUUCUUUGCCUGCACGAUGCGAGGCGGCACAUAAUCAAACCAGUGAACAUGUAAGACUACACCGUUGAGCUACCUUGUACGACAGUCAUCGAUAAACCAUAAUUCAGUGACGACGGCAAGUAUGUACAACUGUAAGAUUUGUUAUUAAACAACGCGAGUCACUGCGGUAGUCACAUUUUCUCAGUAAGCAAUUUUUAUCAUUCCAAAUAUUAUCUUUAUUAUUGUUAAAUUAUUUCAACGAUGUCGUUGCCUCUGUUCUUUAUCUUCUUACGCCUGCGGUAAGAAGAAUGUCUUAAUUUUUGAGAAAGAAAUACCAGAACGGUGCACUUGACCAUCGCGAUAAAGUGAAUACGAUCAAUUUAUUAUUUCACAACGGUAAACAAAAAUAUGUGAUAUACACUUAGACAUCAUUGUCGUAACUACUAGUAGAUCAGCUGUUUCACUUGUAAUGUUAUUUUCGUUUUUAUUUUCUUAGUUUUUCUUCUUUACCUCUCUGCGCCAAUUUGGUACAAAAUUAUAGAAAUAAUUUAUCGAUGGUUCAGGGUAUGAACGUCACUGAAUGUACAUACAUUUAGUUAUAGUUGUAAAUAGGCAACGAAACCGUGCGAAGAACGUGUAACGUGUGAUUAUACCGAUGAUCUCUCACAAAAAGUUUAGAAUUCCUCUUCGUAGUAUAGCACUGAGUUUGUACAUAAGAGCACCUAGUUUAUUUUAUUUCAUUUUUUUAUAGUAACGAUAUAAUUCGUGCGUAAUUUAAAAAUAUAAUGCAAGAAGAUGACAAGAACUUAAAUAGGAGAAAUAUUUUUUUCGUCUUGGAGAAAUAAUUUUAACUGAAAAUCAUUUUCAAAACUGAUAUUAUAAAUACAAAGUAAUACUAAAUAAUGUUUAAAUCUUUCCGUCUGCGUUAUUGUAUAGAUGAUUAUAGUUUAUCUGCAUGAAUACCGAUCGAUAUGCGUAUUAUAAAGAGUGAGCUCAAUUAAAAAAUGGUAAAAAAAUAACUCAUUUCCGUUCGGAUCAUCUCUUCAAACGUAGACAAGGAAAAAAUAUGUGAAUUUUAAGGACUGAUAUAUUUUGUACCUGUUGGUUUCUCUUUAACUCUUUGCCAUUUUUAUUUUUCUUGAAACUUUUCACAUGAAAAAGUCAUACUUGAAUUACCUGAGUUCAGAAGGACGUAGCUUAAGUACAUCGAAUCAUCAUUUUUGGGCAUUCAUAAUCGUAAUCGAUUCUGCCUCUGGUACACGAGGUUUGCAAUCGUAAACACAUGUUCUCCAAAGUCACCCACUCGACUAAUCAAUCCUAAUAAGCAAUAAUCUUUAGCCAUGAAAUUUCAUUCAUUUGGGGGUGAUCAGCAGCCCGUUGCGCCAGAUUAUAACGAAUACCGAAAGAACUAACCAAACAUGUCCAGUAGAUGUGUCCUUAACAAGGGUAGAAUAGAAUUUUGACGGUCUUACCUGUCAAAUUGGUUCAAAGUGAUUUUUAAAAAAUUCCCAAUCGCAUCGAUCUUCUGUGGAUUUCAAUCUUUCUAUCACCAUUGACCCGAUCAUUGGCUGAAAAAUUUGCAACUCUCAGAAAAUAUUGACAGCAACGACACCCUUCAGUUGGAUUUUUUUAGAACCAGUCACAAACAAUUUAAAAGCUAAGCCUCAAAGUUAAAAUUGGUCCAGUCGUGACACAGUAACCUUAACUUUAACCUUCUACCUAACACCUCAAACCUCUGGUUUAAAAUUAUGGUACAAAGGUUAAAAAUUUUCACACGACUAAUUAUUUUGUACAAAAAAGUCUCUCAUUUCUUAAGACCCGUCCCAUUAAAUUUUUUAAAUAUUCAGCUCUCCAAAUGAUUUUUUCUUUUUCUCACAGCGGUUUUUUGCAACUUAUGCAGAGCCAAUUUGAACCAUUUACCGUCGAAAUUCGAUUUUAUGUUUUCUAAGUCUAAUGUCUGGUGUCUGGUAACUGUUAUCGAACCAGAAAUUUUGUACAUCUACAUAUUAAUGUGGUUCGACAGAAACUUCUUUCAUCAGUUUUUAACGUGAAACCAAUCCUUUUUUGCCAGGAAAUUCUGGGUUUGCCGGUGUCGAUAUUUGUAUUUCCCGUCUGAACAAAUCUUGAAGAAUAUUUUUCAGUGCGUCAACUUUGGUGUUUUUCCCAAAAAGUAGAGAAAGAUUCAUCUACUCGAUUGCGUCAAGUCUCCCAAGUUUAUGUUACAGCAUAAAAUGCAAAAAAGUCGAUACCGGUGGAAGUGAACGAAAGAUUGUUUUUACAUUAAAAAUUAUUUUGGAAAAGUGUGAAAAUUAUAGAUGGGAGUAAAAAAGGAUCAUUUUUCUCUCUGGACUAUCCUAAGGCAUACGUAUAUUAGAAUCCUCUAGUAAAUUAAGAAGAAAAUUAAGUACAAGUAACGCGUAAGGCUAUUGUAAUACACCGCUAGCAAAAUUCUACUCAAUGAAAAAAAAAAAUGUACAUUGUUAUAAAAAAUCACACCGAUGAGCCGCAGUAACACUGUUUCCAACGUUACAUCGGCGCACAGUGUUUUCACUAGGGAUUAGCGUAUUUUAUAUAAUAUUAGUCAAGAACAAUAGCUAUCUUGUAGUAUAAACGUUGCAAUCCGUUUGCUUGAUCUUGUAACCGAUUCCAUUCGACUCGUUGAGUUUUUACCAUUCCCAUGAAUUCUCCGGAGCAAUGUAUCCAGCGACGACGUAUCAUUGACGUAGGGUUAUCCUAAUUUCUCUUGAAUAAUUUCUCUCUUCACUGACUAGCUACAUCGUCGAUGUAACUUACAACUGCACACAAUAGUGUCUAAGGGAUAAUUUUAAACUUUAUACGAUAAACAGUACAAAUAAUGUGAAGAAUACUCGCCGCGUGCGUUUACUGGGGUAUGAAAAAAAUCGAUCCGAAAUGGAAUUUAAAUCGAACGCUCGAGUCGACUUCGAGUCUGCGUUCUUCUUUUUUUUUAUCGAGGUAAAUGUGCGCGGUCUUCAGAUACUUCCGGCAUUUUUUUCCCCCACUCAUGUUCAUCGUGUUCUCACCCCCCUACCUGCCAUAUUUUAUUUAAGUUUUUAUAUUAUUUACAAACUAUGAGUAGAAACGAAUAGGCUCGUUACACACGACAUUGGAGCCACACGAUGCCACCUGAUAUUCGUCGGUAUCAGGAUUACCGAGAGGUUAAUACUUUUAAAAGCAAACGAGGAGGUUUUGGACUGUUCAGAAUAAUGGUUACCACACUAUACCCGAUGUAACACGCGUCGCGCCCAUUAUCGCUGCAUUUUUAUUUUAGGUACAAAGUAUUAUUAAGCCAUAGUAUUACCUACGAUCUAUGUUAGUUUUUCCAAACUGUACAACACUGAGACUGAAAGAAAAAUAAAUAUGCCAUUUUCCAUAAUAAUAAUAACAAUAA